rnacentral:lncRNA from 1 species
CUAAGAGACCGGAGCCAUGACACAGGGAAAUUGCGGCAGGAUGGCGUGCACACAGCCUCGCCCCCUACCCCACCUACACUUGAGAGUUUGCAGCGUGGAUGCCCCAAGAACACGGGAAACUACAGUUUUCCUAUUUAUUGUGUUAAAUACACAUAUGACCCCACGCGCAGAGGAGAGGAAUUAAGAAAGAUCCUACGUUAUAGCUGUUCCUGCAAAAGAUCUCUCAUCAGAACGGACUGUUCUGUUUAAAGGCUUACUCUAGGAGAAUGAAAACCACCAGGACGCACUACUUCGUUUCCUCAGCCAUGAAGGAAUGGAAGGAAGGACUUGGAGUGUCACAGCUGAACCCACAAGGGAGGACUGCCAGCCAACUUGGAGUCUAGAAGCUGUGCUCCUCAGCUUGGACUUCAGGGCUCCAUCAGCAGUUCUGGUUCCUUGACUUUCUGUUCCCAUCUCUACUGGCCUGUGGGGACACUAGGGUUGUGAUGGUUUCUAUAUGCUUGGUGGUCCGGGGAGUGGCAUGAUUAGAAGGUAUGGCCCUGUUGGAGUAGGAGUGACCCUGUGGGUGUGGGCUAUAAGACCCUUAUCCUAGCUGCCUGGAAGUCAGUAUUCUGCUAGUGACCUUCAGAUGAAGAUGUAGAACUCUCAGCUCCUUCAGCACCAUGCCUGCCUGGAUGCUGCAAUGCUCCCACCUUGAUGAUAAUGGACUGAACCUUUGA